UCCAAGGUAGCCUAGUGGACAUGGCAUCUGCCCGGGACGAGUGGGCAACACCCUCGAUUCCCGACAGUCAUGAACCGGGAUUGAAUCCCGCGUUAAAAUUUUGUUUAAUAUGUGAAUAACCUUCACAUAUUAUUCACUGUUUCAAUUAUCAUGAACUAGGUUGCUCUUGUUGAGCGGUACCUAUUAAUGUGAUUUUGAACCAGAACCAGAUCUGCCUGGUAAGCGGAACACUGUGGGUUCGAUUCCCAUCCCUGGAU